UAUUAAAAUCGCAUAGAAACUUAACGACUUGUUUUCUGUAUUAAAUUAAAUUAUUUCCAAACUCAUUUCCCCCCGGACAGGCAAGCGGCAGACAACCGGACCCCUGAGAAGCAACUUUCGACCGUUUCGGACCUCGUCUAGUGACCCCGCCGAAGCAGCCAAAAAAAAAAAAAAAGGAUGACAAGCCUCCUCGCCGCACAUUCUGCGAGUGGCCGUCCCCUUGAAUCGCAAACGCAGAACGCACAUUCUCGGUUCCCAUCGUCAUGUCUCCGAUUCAAUUCGCAUCUUGUAAUUUGGAGGUUCCCGCAAAGACCCUCAAAACUCCAAGCGGCAGCUUCCAGCAGCCAUCUCACAAGCAGCGGCUCAUACAAUUGCCUAAAAUAGGAAAACGCAUUGAAAAGUGCGAAUAAUGGGAAUAAAUCUUUCAUUUAUGUUAAUUAUAAACAGCGCGGCGUACGCACAACAAUGAGACGCACAUACGACCAUCAUUAGGCCCACGAUUUUUUUUACGUUGCUCCUAAUAUGCUCUUCCAUUCGAACUUUUUCGGGCGGUGUGCGGUGCGUAAGGUAUUGCUUACCAUUGUCGUUCUGCGUAAGGAAACAAGAAACCUUGAUUUUGUUGCAACGUGAUGAUUUUUUUCUCGCUGAUGCUGUGGACCAACUUUUCAUCUGCCAGCUUUAGGUUGGACAUUUCGCAGGGCGCCACAGGAAAAUGGUGGGAAAAACCGUUGCCUUUGAGACUUGGUUACUGCAGACUGCCACUCCUCAAACUGCAGAUGGCGGAUCGGA